rnacentral:rRNA from 1 species
GACGAACGCUGGCGGCGUGCCUAAUACAUGCAAGUCGAACGCAGUGGGGACGGGUGAGUAACACGUGGGUUACCUCCCAUCAGCUUGGAUAACCCUUGGAAACAGGUGCUAAACCUAUACUGAUGGAUGGACUCGCGGUGCAUUAGCUAGUUGGUGAGGUAACGGCUCACCAAGGCCACGAUGCAUAGCCGACCUGAGAGGGUGAUCGGCCACACUGGGACUGAGACACGGCCCAGACUCCUACGGGAGGCAGCAGUAGGGAAUCUGCGGCAAUGGACGAAAGUCUGACCGAGCAACGCCGCGUGAGUGAAGAAGGUUUUCGGAUCGUAAAACUCUGUUGUUAGAGAAGCGGUAUCUAACCAGAAAGCCACGGCUAACUACGUGCCAGCAGCCGCGGUAAUAC